AUUCUGGCCCAGGACGAACGCUGGCGGCGUGCCUAAUACAUGCAAGUCGAACGGUCUUUCUAUGGAAGCUUGCUUCCACUGAGAGGAUAGUGGCGAACGGGUGAGUAACACGUGGGUAACCUGCCCAUAAGAGGGGGGAUAACAUCCGGAAACGGGUGCUAAUACCGCAUAGUUUUCUUGAUCGCAUGAUUGAGAAAGGAAAGACGGCCUUUGUGCUGUCGCUUAUGGAUGGACCCGCGGCGUAUUAGUUAGUUGGUGAGGUAACGGCUCACCAAGACGAUGAUACGUAGCCGACCUGAGAGGGUGAUCGGCCACAUUGGGACUGAGACACGGCCCAAACUCCUACGGGAGGCAGCAGUAGGGAAUCUUCCGCAAUGGACGAAAGUCUGACGGAGCAACGCCGCGUGAGUGAAAGAAGGUUUUCGGAUCGUAAAACUCUGUUGUCAGAGAAGAACAAGUUGGAGAGUAACUGCUCCAGCCUUGACGGUAUCUGACCAGAAAGCCACGGCUAACUACGUGCCAGCCGCGGC
rnacentral:rRNA from 1 species